rnacentral:snRNA from 1 species
GUCCUUACGCAUGGAACACACUCUAGCAAAUGAUCGAUAAGAGAUGCAGGGUUUAUGCUUUUUGCAAACUAUUUCCAUAACCGCGAUACGACUUGGUAAAACUUGUCGGAUUGCAAUUUUUGUAAUAUCCUCAAUGGAU